GGAUAGGUGGCCGAGCGGUUUAAGGCACUAGUCUUGAAAACUGGCGUACGGGUAACCGUACCGUGGGUUCGAAUCCCACCCUAUCCGCCA
rnacentral:tRNA from 1 species